GGGGAUAUAGCUCAGUGGUAGAGUGUUCACCUAGCAUGUGUGAGGUCCUGAGUUUGAGCCUCAGUAACACACA
rnacentral:tRNA from 1 species